AAUUAAAAAGGUUAACCGAGUAACGAUUCAUUUAAGUCGACACUUUCAGUUUCGCUUCCCCCACCCCACCUCCCUCUCCUGGAAUUCACAUGCUUCCGCCACGUUUUUAACGGGUGGGCUAUCUGGAAUUGAUAUGACGAGAGGAAGGGAAAGUGAGUUGGCUAAUCAGCUAUCAGGUUGUAUGUGAGCUCGCAGCUGUAUUCGAGUGUUUCCAAGUCAUUUUCAUCAGCGAGUUUAUCGAAGGAGGAACAACUGGUUUUGCCACCGGUUCAACUGGAAACCAGCCGCAGCUGUUUUAAUACCAAAGUCGCUACGCCGUGUCAAAUGAAGGAAGGAGCGGCAUCCAUCCCUGAUCCGGGACAGCCCAAAAAUCCUCAGGUGUUAUAGGCGGCAAAAGAUCGGGAAUACCUGUUAAUCUUGAUUAAUUGAGUGGUCAGCAACUGGAUUUGAAGAGGCUGUCCAGCUGUGAUUCCGCUACAAAAAGGCUUCACGGUCCACACUGCAAAUCUCCAGAGAAUGGGAGCGAGUUGUCUUUUUUGUUUUUUGGCGGUGAAAUCCUGCCCCACACCCGGACUUCCCCGCAAUAACAUGUAGGACUGGUAACAUUUAUAUUAUUAGUAGUCGCUGUAGUAGUAUUUUCAUUACUUUCACAAUAAGGAUAGUGGCGCCUUUGCUACGGUCAUGACCCGUCCACAGCGGUGACCUGUCAUGCAGCCAUUCACAGAUGCGCGCCUCCGCACUGUCACGCUGCGCGCCCCCGUGCUGCUGCUUUUGGUCGUCAUGGCGACGAAGACGUCACAAGGAGCUUGGUGCAACCCCAGGUGGCAAGAAGCCCUGAAAGGUUUGACCAAAGUUAUUGCUGAGCUUCCUAAAACUGGCAACGUUAUAAACAGCACACUGUACACUCCAGACUUACCAGUGGUUGAUGGCUGCAAGAAGACAGCAGUGGCUUGCUUCUCAGCUGAACUCAGCGUGGUGAUGUUUGAGUUUGGCACCUCUAAACAAAAGUGGAAUCUAAAGAGAAUUCUGCAAGCAAUUGAAAAUAGUAUGGUGGACACUGGUGCCUGUGUGCAGUGUGAGAGCUACCAGGAGAGGCCAGUGGGAGACUUCUUGAAGAAUCUCCAAACGUUCCUGGAACUGAUGAUGCUUUCUGAACCGUGUGGCAGGUAGCGCUGGACCCUGAGCUCCAAACAUCGCGCACGCAGGGAUCAGGGGUCACAAAGCUGCUUCUCAAUGGUCAGCCCCGCCACUGGUUCCAGACGAGAUUGUGGGGCGCUUGGAGCGGGACCAGUGAGUCUCGGCAGCGCCAGAGGGCAAGAUUUCCUCUAACAGUGGACUUUCUCUGAGGACACCAAAAACAAGACAGACAGACAGACAUUUAAGACUGCUAAUCAAGUGUUUGCAAUCCGUCUCGUUACCUCCUCUUUCUUCUUCUGUUGAAGAAGAUAUGUUGAUUAUUCUGCUUGUGUUUUGUAAUCGGGACGUUUCAAAGACAACGCUUUUGCAUUACUAGUUAAAACGGCAGAGUUUUGAACCGCUUAAAUGAACUAAGUAGAAGCGGUAUAGUGCUACACUAAGUUCGCGAUACAAUGCGUAUCGCCGGACACGUGACUGCCCUGAUCAUUUACACUUACGCGUUGCAUAACAAGAUCAAACUGUUUUUUUUUCACCUACUGAUUCAAAAAUCACUUGGUGAACUCUAAUGAUACGUGUUGUGUAUUAUUUAUGUUUGCAUGAAUAAUGAUUUGUACAUGGGGAGAAACAGUGACAUCUGGUGGGCAGUCAGGUGAACUGUCUUAUUUAAAAUCACACCGUGCGCAGUUUGUACGGGACACUACUGUGAUACGCCUGGUGUUUGUAAUAUUUGACAGUUUUUUGGUGAAAGAAAGUGUCUUUAACACAAAACACAGUGGAGGUUGAAAAUUAACGUCAGAACGUG